rnacentral:rRNA from 1 species
GCGUGGGAACCUGCCCUCGAGUGGGGGAUAACCCGGCGAAAGCCGGGGUAAUACCGCAUACGUCCCGUAGCAAUACGGGAGAAAGAUUUAUCGCUCGAGGAGGGGCCCGCGUCGGAUUAGCUAGUUGGUGAGGUAACGGCUCACCAAGGCGAUGAUCCGUAGCUGGUCUGAGAGGAUGAUCAGCCACACUGGGACUGAGACACGGCCCAGACUCCUACGGGAGGCAGCAGUGGGGAAUAUUGGACAAUGGGCGCAAGCCUGAUCCAGCAAUGCCGCGUGAGUGAUGAAGGCCUUAGGGUU